GUACAUUCCGCCCAUUGGUAGCAGCAGCAGCGGCAGCAGUGGAGAGCGGAGUCUGGAACAGCUGCAAAGUGUUGCAGAGAUUGAGGUGGAAAUGAUGAAGCAGGAAUCUCGAUUGGCACACCUCCAUACUCAGGUAACCGCCGGGCAGGUGUCUCGGAGCAAGGAGGAGCAGCUUUGGGAGUCUACAGCGGCACCCUACUCAACCCACCACCACCACCCAUAAUAUGACAGUUAUUAGCACGGAGGAAGUGCCGACUAGUGAGACUGAUUGUGUUUCCGACACUGUGCCACUGUUGACGAGUGCAGUGCCGUGAAUGCCAGUGUUAGUGUGGCACCUCAGACGGAGGGUGAUUCGGCACUCCAGGGUGAUGUCAGAGUGCCAAGUGACGAGCCCAAAACCGAGGAGGAGAAGGAGGAGGAGGAAAAGAAGGAAGAGGAGGAGGAAAACAAAGCUAGUCAAGUGAUCAAACUGGAGGAAAAGGAAGAAGAGGAGGAGAAGAAAGAGGAGGAGGAGGAGGAGGAGAGAGAAACACGGGAACAAAUAGAUGGAGAGAGGAGAGAAGAAGGAAAAAGGAGGAGAAGGAAGAGGAGGAGGAAAAAUUCACCAACCUCACCACCAAAAUUUCCACCAAUGAAAGAGGACCCCAAGAUACUGUCAUACAAAUAGUGCCACAGGGGACAGCGGGGGUGGCACAGGGGGCCUCGGGGGUGCCGCAGGGGAGGGGAGAGCUGCCCCCGCCCCUCGACUCGGAGCCUUGACGACACUAGGCCUAAGGGUUUAAAGCCCCGGAUACCCAGCGACCUUGAAAGUGUCAUAGAAAACGAAACAAGGGAAGCCAAGCUGGAGGGGAAGACAAGGGUAUGGGACGCCUUGUGAUGGGACGGUUAAUAUUUCCUGAUCUCUGUUAC